UGUGAAAUGUUGGGUUAAGUCCCGCAACGAGCGCAACCCUUAUCCUUUGUUGCCAGCGAUUAGGUCGGGAACUCAAAGGAGACUGCCGGUGAUAAACCGGAGGAAGGUGGGGAUGACGUCAAGUCAUCAUGGCCCUUACGAGUAGGGCUACACACGUGCUACAAUGGCGUAUACAGAGGGAAGCGAGAGUGCGAGCUGGAGCGAAUCUCACAAAGUACGUCUAAGUCCGGAUUGGAGUCUGCAACUCGACUCCAUGAAGU
rnacentral:rRNA from 1 species